AGUUUGAUCCUGGCUCAGAUUGAACGCUGGCGGCAGGCCUAACACAUGCAAGUCGAGCGGAAACGAUGGGAGCUUGCUCCCAGGCGUCGAGCGGCGGACGGGUGAGUAACACGUGGGAAUCUGCCCAUUAGUGGGGGAUAACUCGGGGAAACUCGAGCUAAUACCGCAUAAUCCCUACGGGGGAAAGCAGGGGAUCUUCGGACCUUGCGCUGAUGGAUGAGCCCGCGUCGGAUUAGCUUGUUGGUGGGGUAAUGGCCCACCAAGGCGACGAUCCGUAACUGGUCUGAGAGGAUGGCCAGUCACACCGGGACUGAGACACGGCCCGGACUCCUACGGGAGGCAGCAG
rnacentral:rRNA from 1 species